rnacentral:rRNA from 1 species
UACGAAGGGGGCUAGCGUUGCUCGGAAUCACUGGGCGUAAAGGGCGCGUAGGCGGCCAGCACAAGUCAGUUGUGAAAUCUCCGAGCUUAACUCGGAAAGGUCAACUGAUACUGUGCGGCUAGAGUGCAGAAGGGGCAACUGGAAUUCUCGGUGUAGCGGUGAAAUGCGUAGAUAUCGAGAGGAACACCUGCGGCGAAGGCGGGUUGCUGGGCUGACACUGACGCUGAGGCGCGAAAGCUAGGGGAGCGAACGGG